AUCCUUCUGUAGCGCAUGAGCGUGAUGAUUGGGUGUUCAUGCAGUCGUGUGACACGCGCCUCCCUCCAACCUUGUUACGACAACCUGGGCAUUCCCUGAGGUGAAA